rnacentral:misc_RNA from 1 species
GAUGAAGAACGUAGCGAAAUGCGAUACUUGGUGUGAAUUGCAGAAUCCCGUGAACCAUCGAGUCUUUGAACGCAAGUUGCGCCCGAAGCCAUCAGGUUGAGGGCACGUCUGCCUGGGCGUCACAUAUCGUUGCCCAAUGCCUAUUGUAGUGCAAUAGGAAUUUCUAGGGCGAAUGAUGGCUUCCCGUGAGCGUUGUUGCCUCGCGGUUGGUUGAAAAUCGAGUCCUUGGUAGGGUGUGCCAUGGUAGAUGGUGGUCGAGUUAGAACGAUACCGAUCAUGUGCAUGCUCCCCAAAAUAUGGCCUCUAUGACCCACACGCGUCUUUUGACGCUCAUGACGAGACCUCAGGUCAGGCGGGGCUACCCGCUGAAUUUAAGCAUAUCAAUAAGCGGAGGA